AAUGGAAACCCAAGGGACGUAACCGCUCACGAAUUGCAUAAAACUGCUCCCAGCCUCAAACAUUCCAUGCAGAAUGUGCACAUUGUUUUCUGAUGAGAAACUGCAUUGUCGAGGGAACAGAGGGAUACUAGAUGUUACUCUUGGGCUGGGCGGAAGGGUAAAUAAAAUGUUCAGACUGAGAUACAAGCUUUCCCACCACCGGACAGAUGGUUGACUGGCACUCGUCUUGGAUGAGUGGCACCGCUCCAGCGGUCGUCCACGUCCCAUGCCUCUAGGUCUGCGAUUAACACGGCAGCCUACAUGCCUACUGCUGUAUACCUUUGACGCCUUGCUGGGAACCGACAUCGGAUAUACAGGGCAGUUGGUCAGUCAGUGCAAUGGCUGACAUACCCUGCCAGCGUCAGCUUGAAAACCCUGACUGAUUAUGCUUUGAACCUGGAGAAUCCAUCGUACCAUUUUAACGUUGUAACCAGUGUUUAAUUGUGUGAGAAGUACAAUAAAAUUAUAGCAGU
rnacentral:lncRNA from 1 species